rnacentral:rRNA from 1 species
AUUGAACGCUGGCGGCAGGCCUAACACAUGCAAGUCGAACGAGUGGCGGACGGGUGAGUAAUGUCUGGGAAACUGCCCGAUGGAGGGGGAUAACUACUGGAAACGGUAGCUAAUACAGCAUACCAUCGGAUGUGCCCCGAUGGGAUUAGCUAGUAGGUGGGGUAACGGCUCACCUAGGCGACGAUCCCUAGCUGGUCUGAGAGGAGGACCGGCAACACCGGAACUGAGACACGGUCCAGACUCCUACGGGAGGCAGCAGUGGGGAAUCUUGGACAAUGGGCGAAAGCCUGAUCCAGCCAUGCCGCGUGUGUGAAGAAGGUCUUCGGAUUGUAAAGCACUGUAAGUUGGGAGGCGUUACCGACAGAGUAAGCACCGGCUAACUCUGUGCCAGCAGCCGCGGUAAUUC